rnacentral:rRNA from 1 species
UGGGGAAUAUUGCACAAUGGGCGCAAGCCUGAUGCAGCAACGCCGCGUGAGGGACGACGGCCUUCGGGUUGUAAACCUCUUUUAGUAGGGAAGAAGCGAAAGUGACGGUACCUGCAGAAAAAGCACCGGCUAACUACGUGCCAGCAGCCGCGGUAAUACGUAGGGUGCAAGCGUUGUCCGGAAUUAUUGGGCGUAAAGAGCUCGUAGGCGGUUUGUCGCGUCUGCUGUGAAAUCCCGAGGCUCAACCUC